rnacentral:rRNA from 1 species
AUACGGAGGGUGCAAGCGUUUUUCGGAAUCACUGGGCGUAAAGGGUGCGUAGGCGGUUUGAUAAUUCUGAUGUGAAAUCCUAUGGCUCAACCAUAGAACUGCAUUGGAAACUGUCAGACUAGAAUACUGAAGGGGCAGAUGGAAUUAGUGGUGUAGGGGUAAAAUCCGUAGAUAUCACUAGGAAUACCGAAAGCGAAAGCGAUCUGCUGGGAAGUUAUUGACGCUGAGGCACGAAAGCGUGGGGAGCAAACGGGAUUAGAAACCCCAGUAGUCC